CUGAGAUCUAUAUGGUGACCCCAUGGUAGUGUUUUGGCUAAAGGGGUACACAUGAUUCAUUACUCAUGCAACGACUUGUGUUCCCUGAUGGCACUGUCCUUAGAUGCAGCCAAGAAAAAUCCCACAAGUUUAGAAAGCACACUCAUCAUUCUUAAGAGGGUGUAUCAUAUACUAAAACACAUAUAAAUUAUGAUUUUUGGUGAAAACGGGAGAUAAAUAUAUUUUUUCGUGUUCUCCUAACCCCGAUUAAACCAUGCUUAGCUCGAGAGUCCAUGCAAACACUUCCCACUUCCAACAAGAGAUUAUCUCAUCAAUAACCCUCUAUUUGACCACAAAACUCUCCUCAAAAUUUGGAACUUCAAUAAGAACUCACCGCCACUAUCAUAAUCCUUAUUACUCUCACCACCAAACCCUUCAUAGUUCAGCCCCUCCAUCCGUUGCUGUCGGCCCUAGUUUUCUUCUCCACGUUGUGCUCGGAGCGGUGGCGUUGCAGUACCCAUCGUCAUCCCCAAGCCAGCAUCCGUUGUCGUUGUCGUUGGCCGCAAGAAGACGUCUCUGUCCCCACGGCGAGCCCUUGUCUUCGAGCCCUUCUCUCUCUAUCUGAGGCCCCGUCCUUCCUUUCUCACCGUCAAUACCAUUUCUUCCGCUGCUGUAUAUUAAGAUGCCCAUGAUAAGUCGUUGCGUGAAGAUAUCCAAGUUGGACACAUCAUGUUAGCAACCUCAAGUAGGAUCUGCUACGGCUUCAUCCUGGACUUCCCAAUUCCCCCGUCCAGUGGUGGUAGUGCCCCCGCAGCCUCAUCUUUACGCCCCUUUCAUCUGCCCCAUAGCGAACCAUUGCUUGCUCCACAGACUUGUAUGAAUGGUGUUCAAAACUCGUAGCCGGGCGAUGAAAACUUAGACCCAGAGGCAGGUGAGGUAGAGUCUUUUGAGCAACACGUUGACAACCUGUUUGCUGCAUCUGAGACUCAAAAGCGCAAGGGACGCAAGACCACUGAAUUUUGGGAUGUUAAAACAAUUGAAUCCGAUGGAACAAUCAAACAACUUCGUUUGAGUGUGAAGGAAGCUAUGAGCCACCUAACGGUAGAAAGAUCGUACUCAGGUUCAACUGAAACCUGCAACCAGUUGGAGAUGAAACUGGUAUACUAAGCAGCGUUUUCGGAUUGCUAAGAUCUAGCUACACCAAAUUCCCAAUCUACGAUGUCUAAUUCAAGGGCAAGGUGGGGAGCUUCCACCAGACGUCACUGCAUAGAUGAAUUCAUUGGAGGGACAGAGUGAAAAGUGGAUCCUAGGAUUAGAAAUUGCUUUAUAGUUUUGCUAAUGCCUUUUAUCCAUCAAUUUAUUUUUUAAGAUACAAAAUAAUUAAGAUUUGUAAUAUUAAAAAAAUAUAAAAAAAAAAAAAAAAACAAAAGAAAAAAAAUAAUACCUAAUACAUUCAAACUAAAAAAA